GGAGAUUAGAUUUGCUAGGAGUAGUGUUAGUCACAGUAUUCUCCCAACUUGGGAAUAUAUAUGUGGAGGAUGUCCGUAAAUUAUACACUAUAUAAAAGCUGAUCAGAUCAGCGCCUCCAAAGCGUUUUGAGCACUGUAGAAGUGCUAUUUAUCCUCUCAUUUUUCCAAUCGUUGCCUCACGCGUGUCCCUGGCUUGGUUUUGCCUUUUUAUUUCCUUUUUCUUUUUUUGCCUGAGCAGGUUACCGGCUACCGGCUGAGGAGCUCUUUUGUGGAUCUCUCAGUAUUUACUCCUAUUGGGCUAACGUGGCUUUAUUUUCAAAAACGUGGCAGUUUUUACCUAGGCCACCGAUUGGAGAGAUAUUUCUAGGCGUUUCGGGUCAACUCGCCUGCAUCGCUAUCUUCUCCAAGUACACAGUCCACCACUCACGUCCGGCAUCGUAGCCCCGAGCGACCUCCACAGCAGGCUAAGAAAAUGUCGCCGUCCUCCGUACUCCCCCCUCCUCCUGCCCUCUCCGGAGAACGGUAGCUCCAUGGGCCGGCGAGAAGCGAGAACCCGGCGCCCAUCCCCAAGAUUUCCCGUUCAAGAGCGAGAUCAACCCGAGGCUCCUCAUCCCCAGUCUCCUAGGCGUGGGGUGUUCCGAGGGAAAAUCCAGCAUGGUGGAUCGUCCGUUUAGCGAGUGGAACAAGGUGCACGUUGCGCCGUCUGCUUGAUGGAAUUUGUUGCCGAGGUAAGGCCGUUUCCCCUGUGUCCACCAUCCUUCUUCCAUUACUUUGUUGCUUCGUAUUCUCCUUUUUCGGCAGUAGGGAUUGGCAACGGCGGUGGAGCAGAUCACUCGGUGGCAACACCGGCGUUGCGUAGAGCCUACCAGUAAGAGGAAGGAGGGCGCGCCGUGCCGCCAGUUCGGGCAGCCAAGCCGACCAGCAGCACCUCUGAGCACGAGGAUGGAGAGGUGGCUUUCCGCGGGUGCUGUGCUGCUGCGAGUUGGCAGUAUGGUCGGUUUAUUGUGCUGACUUCUAGAAACAAAGCCCAAUGUCAUAUCUUCCCGGGAGCUCUUCCCAAGGUCUGGAAGAUGAAGAAAAAUGUAUUGAGCUGGAUGCUUCUCAUCUGAUGGGUUAUGUGCAUAAACGAAUGUUCAAGCCCGAUGCAGAAUUAUGAAAGUGCUUUUAUUUACCUGGACUAUAAAAGUGUUAUCGCAACAUAUACAGAGGUACCUUUCCAGCCAGUCUUUUGCCUUCUUGAUAUUAUAACAUAGGCUGAUCUUUCUUUUUGUUGGAAUAGGUGUACAACAUGCUGAUACGUCUCCGACGUAUCGAUAAUUUCUUAUGUUCCAUGCCACAUU